rnacentral:lncRNA from 1 species
GCAAAAAGGGCUGGACCGAUUUGAAUCAGCUUUUGCAUCACUCGUUAAGUCAAAAAUAAUUUUAAUUCACCUGUUUUAUAAGCAGAGCAAAUCCCAUGGCAUUUGGCCUCACAGCUCAAGUUAAGUGGCCACACAGGGAGAGGAAGAAAUUGGCAAAACACCUGGUUAAGGUAACGUUUAUGUAGGCUACAGGGACCAAACCACUUCUUAAUAAGGUUUUAAACAAAGAGAAAUCCCAACUUCCUCCUUGGGAAGGAAGACUUGGUCUUCCUUUUUCAUUCUGUGUUUUUCCUUCUGUUUCUACAAGGAUAGUUAUGGGGAAAGGCAGGCAAACAUCUGCCAAGUUGUGGAAAGUUAUAACUGCAGUAACCUGUGCUUUUACCAUCAUGAUGGUCUUAUCUGCAGUUGAAUCAACUCGUACUCCAAAGAGUAAGUUCAUAGCAAGGAACUGGGGCCCUCAAUCAAUGCUAUACCUCAAAGGACGAUAUGGCCGAAGAUACGCUUCUUCUGAUAAAGAGGAACAAAGUUACAAGAUUGACUUGGAUGAUCCAAAUGCAGUUCUGAAAAGUUAUAGAAACUCAGCACCACUGAAAUUCUUGAACUCCAUAAGAAGAUUAACAGCUAAAAAUAUGGACAUUGAACAUGUGGACUAACAAUUUAUAUGAUUUGCUCUUCAAAUUUUUCAAAUGCUAUAUAUAAUUUUAAAAGUAUUUCAUUGUUGCCUUUUUCCAUUUGUGCUCCUGUGAAAUGCUUUAUGCAAUAUUGAUUAUAACAAAUCAGUCUAUUUAAUCAGAAAAACUGCUUUACCCUAAUAAAUGUGAACAUGAAAAAUGAGAACGUCA